AGUCCCAGUUCGGAUAAGAGGCUGAAACUCGCCUCUUUGAAGUCGGAAUCGCUAGUAAUCGCAGAUCAGCAUGUUGCGGUGAAUACGUUCCCGGGUCUUGUACACACCGCCCGUCAAACCAUGAGAGUCACCAACACCCGAAGUCCGCCUUGGCGGCCUAAGGGUGGGGGAGAUGAUUGGGGUUAAGUCGUAACAAGGUACC
rnacentral:rRNA from 1 species